GAGUCUUCUGGAGUUUCUGACAAAGCAAAUCAGGUUGAAUUGUAUUAAAUGCACUGGAGAAAUCAAAGAACAUGAUCCUCACAGUAGAGGAUGACAUUUUUUCAAGAAUCCCGUGGGAUGGGAGACAGCAUUAAAUUCAAAUCUUUCCAAGUCUCUUAACACUAGAACUCCCAGAGCCGUCAAUUUGACGGUUUUGAAAGUUUGACAUGCCAUAACGCUGGUUUAUUAAAACUCUUAUCUUCCUGGCAUCCUGACUUUUUCUAAACCUGUCUUGUGUAUUCCUCUGUCUCUAUUUAAAAAAAAUGCCAAAGUAAAUAAAAGAUCUAAGUAUUUCUACCUCUAACUACCACAGCCGCUAUUUUGACGGCUUUAUUAUAUACAUAAAUUUUUUUUCCCGCGGCUCAGUAUACGCGCGAGCGUUGCCCAGCAACCGUCACUCUAGAAAGCUGUCUGAGAAGGAAAUCGCUAGCAUCCUACAAAUGGCUUCCAGAUGGAGAUUUUCUGCUCAAGAGGCAUUGAAAAUGCUUCGAAAAUUAGAUGAGUGUGAUUCUGGGGGCGAGAGGGAUUUUGACGGCUCUUGGUCAGUAUUCAGCAGUGACGGCGAGUCAGAGAGUGAGCCUCCCCCGGCAAAAAAAAAGACGAGUCGUCCCAUCUGCAGGCGGUGGUGAUUUAUUCUUUCAAGCAAGAGUGCCACAAUCAGUGGAGGUUCAGAGACAGGGAGACGAGCCAGACGCCCAGUCCCCAGCUAUAAAUCCAGCAAUCCAGCUCACUGGCAGGAGAGAAAACACAAAUCAAGCGUCUUCAUCAUAAGACGAACGCACACCUGAGAGGGAGGAGCAGAUAGGAAAGGAUGGCACUGUGUGGACAGUGGUAGGGGAGGAAGAAGAGCAAGAAUAUGUUGACAGAGGCAGAAGGACCCACCACAUACGCAAAGCGCCAGAUCCAAGAUGCCCAGACCGCAUUCCUCUGCUUGGUGGAUGCCGAAAUGCUCAUCCACAUUCAGCGCUGCACUGUAGCUGAGGCCCGCAAAGUUUUAGGUGAUGAUUCCUCCUGGGACAUGAGUGUGGAUGAGCUGAAGGCGUUUUUAGCGCUAGUUUAUUUAAGCGGAGUGAAAGGGGGGCGUAACAUGGAGCUGUCCAGCUUUUGGUCAGAUGACUGGGGCUUUCCAUACUUCCAUGAAACCACGCCGAUUCACAGAUAUAAUGCGCUUUCUGCUCUUCGACAAUAAAGAGAGCAGACACGCAUGUCUCCAAAUUACAAAGUUUGCUCUUGUGAAUAAGGUGUGGGAAUGUUUUGUCAACAAUUGUAUGAGCUGUUACAAACCUGGUGCUGAUAUCACCAUUGAUGAACAGCUCCUCCCGACCAAAGCGAGAUGUGCCUUCCUCCAAUAUAUGUCCAACAAAUCUGACAAGUUUGCCAUCAAGUUUUGGCUGGCAGUGGAUGUCAACACAAAGUACAUGUUGAACGGCGCUCCUUAUCUGGGUAAGGAUGAGACGUGAAAUCCAGGUCAGCGUCUUGGAGACAGUGUGGUGUUGAAGUUGGUGGAGCCAUUUACGGGAAAGGGGAGAAACGUCACAACAGACAACUUUUUUACAUCAGUUGAACUGGCCAAGACACAAGACCAGUAUCGUGGGUACAGUGAAUAGAAGCAGACGCGAGCUUCCCCUGUGCGUAAAGGAGCAAAUGCCGCUGUACUCAACCAGAGUCCUAAAAAACACCAACACCACCCUCAGUCUACCAGUGUAAAGCCCGAAAAAAUAUGUGUGUGUUGUGCACUGUGCACACUUCAUCUGGCAUCCUCAAUGGCCCGAAGUCCAAACCCGAGCCCGUGGUUUACUAUAACCAUACCAAGGUUGUUGUGGAUGUGCUUGACCAAAUGUUAAAAAAAAAUACUCCAUCAAAGCUGCAACAUGUAGAUGGCCAGUGGCAGUUUUCUACAAUGUCCUCGACAUGGCUGCAAUCAAUUCGUGGAUCUUGUACACAAAAUGCCUCCAUGAAAAUAUUCCACGGUGAGGUUUUAUCUUGCAGCUUGCGAAUAAACUUCUCUCCAGUUACAUGCGCACCAAAAAGCAGCCACUGCCUUGUGAGCCAGCACCUGUUGAAGGCCUGCAUGUUUUGGAAAGGAGACGGCAGUGCCAGGUAUGCAAAAGUUUCUCCAAAAACCACUCAAAAGAUGUUUGCUGUCUGUGCAAAAAAGUAGUGUGUGGACAAUGCACUUGAAGUGUGACUGUCACAUGCAAAAACUGUAUAUAGAUUUCCGUUUCUCAUCUUAAUUUUUUCAUGUUGUACAUAGUUUUUAAUAGUUCUUUCGUUUCCGCUAUUGUCUCAUUAUUAUUGUUAUUAUUAUUAUUAUUAUUAUUACUAUUAUAGACUUGUUUAUAGUUCUUGUUAUUGUACAGUUUGAAAUGAAUGAUUGAAAAAUAUUUAUUAAAUUUACUGUAAUGUAAUUUAUUCAGCUCAUAUCAAAUUUAUC